ACAGAGGUAUGGUCCAUGUGACAUUCUCAGGACCACACAGCUAGUAUUGGAUGCAGCUCACAAUGGUAACUAGGUUGAGAAGCACUGGGCUACAGGAAAU